rnacentral:rRNA from 1 species
UACAGAGGUCUCAAGCGUUGUUCGGAUUCAUUGGGCGUAAAGGGUGCGUAGGUGGCGCUGUAAGUCGGGUGUGAAAUUUCGGAGCUUAACUCCGAAACUGCAUUUGAUACUGCGGUGCUUGAGGACUGGAGAGGAGACUGGAAUUCACGGUGUAGCAGUGAAAUGCGUAGAUAUCGUGAGGAAGACCAGUGGCGAAGGCGGGUCUCUGGACAGUUCCUGACACUGAGGCACGAAGGCCAGGGGAGCAAACGGG